rnacentral:lncRNA from 1 species
UGUGAAUGGAGACUAGCCUGCUGGUAGAGACCUUGGCAGUGACCGCUGUGGGCAAUGAGCCAUGGGCCAACAAUAUUCAAUGCUGUGUACCUGAUGGAUGGUCACUGUCUGAGGCUGAAGCUUUUGGGGCCAGGAGUAAAAGGACUUGGUUUGUGCUCGAUUGCAUCCUGUGGGUGCUUGCCUACCAACUGACUCAUCCCGACGUGCCAAAGGCCCUGGCUUUCACCUGUGUGGGUAAGGGAAGAAGAGAUUUCUUUGUUCCUAGUUCAAUUCAAACGCACCAUCCUAAGCACA